rnacentral:snRNA from 1 species
AUACACUUGUAGUUUGAU